GACGAACGCUGGCGGCGCGCUUAACACAUGCAAGUCGAGCGAGAACCAGGGCUUCGGCCCUGGGGACAGCGGCGAACGGGUGAGUAACACGUGGGUAAUCUGCCCUCGGCACCGGAAUAGCCCGGGGAAACCCGGAUUAAUGCCGGAUGGCCCCUUCACCUCGCGAGGUGUCGGGAAAAGGUAGCUUCGGCCUCUGGCCGAGGAUGAGCCCGCGGCGGAUUAGCUUGUUGGCGGGGUAACGGCCCACCAAGGCGACGAUCCGUAGCUGGUCUGAGAGGACGAUCAGCCACACUGGGACUGAGACACGGCCCAGACGCCUACGGGAGGCAGCAGUGGGGAAUCUUGCGCAAUGGGCGAAAGCCUGACGCAGCGGCGCCGCGUGAGGGAAGAAGGCCUUCGGGUUGUAAACCUCUUUCAGGAGGGACGAAGCUACUCGGGUGAAUAGCCCAGAGGGUGACGGUACCUCCAGAAGAAGCCCCGGCUAACUACGUGCCAGCCGCCGCCGUAA
rnacentral:rRNA from 1 species